AUCAUGGAUGGACGAGUGGUUUAAGCGAUAGACUUUUACUCCAGGACUCAAGGGGUCAGUGGUUUGAGUCCAGUUCAUGAUA
rnacentral:tRNA from 1 species